rnacentral:rRNA from 1 species
AACGAACGCUGGCGGCAGGCCUAACACAUGCAAGUCGAGCGCCCCGCAAGGGGAGCGGCGGACGGGUGAGUAACGCGUGGGAAUUUUCCUCAAGGUACGGAACAACUCAGGGAAACUUGGGCUAAUACCGUAUGAUGAAGAGAUGCCAAAGAUUUAUCGCCUUGGGAUAAGCCCGCGUCAGAUUAGGUAGUUGGUGGGGUAACGGCCGACCAAGCCUGCGAUCUGUAGCUGGUCUGAGAGGACGAUCAGCCACAUUGGGUCUGAGACACGGCCCAAACGCCUAUGGUAGGCAGCAGUGGGGAAUCUUGCGCAAUGGGCGAAAGCCUGACGCAGUCAUGCCGCGUGAAUGAUGAAGGUCUUAGGAUUGUAAAGUUCUUUCGCCCGUGACGAUGAUGACGGUAACGGGAGAAGAAGCCCCGGCUAACUUCGUGCCAGCAGCCGCCGUAACAC